GUGGCGUUGUCGUAGCACUCAUCAAAUCCUCCUGAGUGCAGAUGCUUGGGCACUCAGGGCAUGACAUCAGGUUUUUUUGGUACUCUAAUGGUAUGUAGGAAGUUGUUUAUUAAGACUUUUUAUUUAAAAGAUUGCUAAAAUCUAUUAGGGUUGGUUACUUUUAUUACUCUCCAAUUAGCUGUGUAACCAUAUAUGCUUUUAUAGCGUCAAAUAUUACUUGAUAUCCGUCAAAUUUUUCCAGCUGGUGUUCAUGAUGAUGUCAGAUUCGGCUGUUGUUAUUCCAAAUAAAUAAAUAAAAUAAACAUUGCGUCACUCAAAAUUGGUAUACUUCAGUUUUUAUCAUAUGUGUAGUAUUUGAUUCGUCGUCUGCGUUUGAGGAUAAUAUGUAUGAUAUGGAAUCACUUUUCAGUCAUCGCACUUUUCUUCUUCUUACUGUCACAGUGUGAACAGCUUUGACUGGUUCUGUAAAUAAUUCGGCUGUAUCAGAUCUUUAGGUACUCGUUUUUUUGGUACUCUGAUGGUAUGUAGGAAGUUGUUUAUUAAGACUUUUUAUUUAAAAGAUUGCUAAAAUCUAUUAGCGCUGGUUACUUUUAUUACUCUCCAAUUAGCUGUGUAACCAUAUUAUAUGCUUUUAUAGCGUCAAAUAUUACUUGAUAUCCGUCAAAUUUUUCCAGCUGGUGUUCAUGAUGAUGUCAGUUUCGGCUGUUGUUAUUCCAAAUAAAUAAAUAAAAUAAAAUAAACAUUGCGUCACUCAAAAUUGGUAUACUUCAGUUUUUAUCAUGUGUGUAGUAUUUGAUUCGUCGUCUGCGUUUGAGGAUAAUAAUAUGUAUGAUAUGGAAUCACUUUUCUUCUUCUUACUGUCACAGUGUGAACAGCUUUGACUUGUUCUGUAAAUAAUUCGGCUGUAUCAGAUCUUUAGGUACUCGUUUUUUUGGUACUCUGAUGGUAUGUAGGAAGUUGUUUAUUAAGACUUUUUAUUUAAAAGAUUGCUAAAAUCUAUUAGAGUUGGUUACUUUUA